rnacentral:rRNA from 1 species
ACACGACUACAUUAGAUACCCCUGUAGUCCUAGGCGUAAAUGAUGCGAGUUAAGUGUGGGGCAUCUACGAGAUGGCCCUGUGCUGUAGGGUAGCCGUUAAACUCGCUGCCGUGGGGAGUACGGUCGCAAGGCUGAAACCUUAAAGGAAUUGGCGGGGAGCACCACAAGAGGUGGAGGCUGCGGUUCAAUUGGACUCAACGCCGGAAAACUCAUCGGGAGCGACAGCAGUAUGAUUGCCAGGUUGAUGACCUUGCUUGACAAGCUG